GUUUUUAUUGGUUUUUUUG
rnacentral:sRNA from 1 species